CACACUUGCUCACCGAUUCCUCUGUAUGACUGGUCAAAGACUGAAAACAGCCAAACCAUUCACACCACCACUGUCCCUCCAGACCGCAACAAAGAAGUCUUACAUCCUACAUCCCAGACUAGGGGAGAAUACACCAGAGCUCAAGAUUACAUCGCAAACAUUUCCUCUACACUCAAGACUGAGAGAAACAACACGGAAGAUAUGAACGUCACCCCUUCUUUCAAGAAUGAGAUAGUGAACUAUAGUGAUGUCUUACCAACAUCUCAGACCAAUGGAAACCAAACUCAAGAUGAGGGCAAGGACUUUGAUGACCAAGGCUCCAUUGCCUCCGUUAUGACCCAAACUGAGAACUAUAAUAUCACCACAGAGCAUACCACUACAGCUACUGCAAGAUCCACCAUAUCCACAAUGGGAGGCAUGACUGUAAAUGCUGCUUUAACUGGGAAGAAGAAGAGGUCUUGUAAAAUAUUUAGCUGCAUCGGCAUAACAUGCUACAAACAUAUGAAGGCCAUGGAGGAGUUGUGUGAGGAGGGUAUGGACUUCUGUGAG
rnacentral:lncRNA from 1 species